UGAGAGGGGCAUUGACAUAUCUGAGCUGCUCAGGGGUAGCGUCCCCUGUGGGCCUGGAGUUGACAGGAGGGGCAGCCAUGGACCUGGGAGACCAAGAAUUGGAUGGGAGACGUCCAGCCGCCCGACACCUCUCUGGGGGGCCCUGCUGCCUGGUGCCCUCCAGGCUGUGAGUGGGGUGCCUGGGACAGGAAGGGGACAGAGCUGCCAUAUUCUCAUCCCCUGCAGCUGGCCGCUUGGGCUGGGCGAGAGCCGCGGCCCAGCUGGGGCGCACACCCUGGACCCGGCUCAGACGUGCCCCCGAGAGGGACCAAGCCGAUUAGAGAACAAUGCCUGACAGAACUGUUUACUGGAUUACAUUGAGUUAAAUUUCAUUUUCUUUUCGCCAAGAAGGAAUGAGAACCUGUCAAAGGAACAUCCAAGGGCCGAUGAAAGAGAAUUGCAUGCUUGCACACCGGAUUGACAACAGUCAAUUCGCCUCCUGCUCUAAGACAAAAAGAUUAACAAUGCGUGAGCUAAGCGUUGAACUCAAACAAAAGGACAGCGACUACCACACAAGAAAGAAAGAAUGCAGAGUUAAUAAAGAAGCAGGUAUGAAUGGACUGGUCCGCCCCAACCCAAGGAAAACUCAUUCUAGAUCUGCAAUAAGAUGAAGAGCUGGAUAUUUGGAAAGAUCAACAAGACAAGCAAAUGUCUGGCAAGAUUAAUCCAGAAAAGAGAGAAACCACGAAUGCACAUUAGGAAUGAGAAAAUGGUUCGAAUAAAAAAUGGAAGGGUUCAAAGAGAUGAGAUCGGUACGUACCAUUUCACGCCUAUAAUCUGAAAAUCUAGAACAGUGUCUCCUGAUCAUGCUGUGUUCACCCAGGAAGGGGAGGCAGGUGGCCAGCAGGAAGCCAGCAGCUGUUCUCUCUCUCACACACUCACACUCACACAUGCACACGCAGAGUGGCCCGUGAAACGACAGCCUCCCAAGGCCCUCUACGAGUCACGCUCUCUACUUCCCGGUUUUCAAUUCUCCUGGGCACAUACCUUGGAACAGAACUGCCGGAUCACAGGUCACUCUACACUUAACUUUCUGAUGAGGUGCCUGUUUCCUCGGCAACUGCACCAUUUCACAGUCCCACCAGGGCAUGAGGGUUCCAGAUUCCCUACAUCCUGCAUCAACACUUAUCGUCUGUCUUUGAUUUCAGCCAUGCUCAUCAGGGUGAAGAGAGAUGCAAGCCUGCUCUAAGGCAUCAGAGGAGCUGUGGUCAUGCUGCCCAGGGAGACUGACAGUUCUCCUGCCUUCUUCUGAGAAGCAGCACUUUGACUGCCUGGUCCUGGGUGAUUUGAAGAAGACACACCGAGAUGGCCCAGGCAGCCCUUGCCCUGCCUGGACUGGCCUGCCAGGCUGAAUACAA